rnacentral:rRNA from 1 species
UAAGGAAUAUUGGUCAAUGGCGCAAGCCUGCACCAGCCAUGCCGCGUGCAGGAAGACGGCCCUAUGGGUUGUAAACUGCUUUUGUCAGGGAAUAAACCCCCGCUCGUGAGCGGGGCUGAAGGUACCUGAAGAAUAAGCAUCGGCUAACUCCGUGCCAGCAGCCGCGGUAAUACGGAGGAUGCAAGCGUUAUCCGGAUUCAUUGGGUUUAAAGGGUGCGCAGGCGGGUUGGUAAGUCAGGGGUGAAAUCCCACAGCUCGACUGUGGAACUGCCGUUGGUACUGUCAGUCUAGAGGAUAGUUGAAGUGGGCGGAAUGUGUCAUGUGGCGGUGGAAUGCUUAGAUAUGACACAGAACACCGAUCGCGAAGGCAGCUCGCUAAGCUA